AUGAGUGACAUCUGUUUCUCCACUGGAAGGCAGGAGGGGGCCAAAAGUCAGAGAUAAAACAUAAGGCUACGUCAUAUUCUAUUACCCCAAUAAAACAGUUACAACAAGGACCAUGUUCCCUAUAUUCAGGAAAAGCAGCAGAAACCGUUAUUCUUCUGAACUCAGAACUUGAUAUAUAGAGUCUGUCGUUAAUUCUUAUACAAGGAUGGGAUUGUGUCUUCUACGUAUCUGGGUUGGUGGGUGCAUGGAUUUAUUUUUAUAUCCCCCGCUUGAAAAGCGGGAGGUAUAUAGUGAUCGGGAUUUCCGUCCGUCUGUACGUCUGUCCGUCCGUCCGUCCUUCUGUCCGUCCGUCUGUUACGCUUUUUCUCUUAUCCGCAACUCCUCUUAUACUACUGAGUGAAAUUUAAUGAAACUUUCACAGAAUCUUUAUUACAUAAUGCCAUUGUGCACCUCCUAUUUUACUUUUUUAUUCGACACGUAUUUUACGUUUCCCAGAGCAAAACAUUGCCAUUAUGGGAGGCGGGGGGUAUCAUUUAGUGAGCUCAUUGCUCAUAGUACCUCUAGUUUUUUUUUUAGUUGACAUAGGUUCAACAACAACAAUCAUUUCCAAGUACGUGUAUGACAGUAUAGAUCCACAUCAAAGUAAUGGUAAUGUAAUGCAUUACUUUAAGAAAAUAGAGUAAUGGUAAUUUAAUGCCCAAAUUGUUGAUGUAAUGGCAGUGUAAUGCAUUACUUUGUUACGAAUUCGGCAUUCUCCACUAUGAUUAUGAAUAAGUAAACAUGGUAAACAAGAUGUUCCCUGUUAUAUGAGUCGCUAAAAUGAUGAUUCGAUGGAUGAUUGAAUGAAUGAUAUGAAUAGACAUUUAUUCUUAUUUACUUGCUAUUAUUGAUUAAUGUUAUUUACUUAUUAGAAUUUAUUAUAAGCUACGUGCAAAUUGUUCACCUCGUACCGAAUUUCCUCCAUGUUUUGAGGAAUAUGGAACGUAAAGAAACCAUUUUCUGGUCCAUAAAUGUAAUAACAUAGUACUUAAUGUGUUUACCUUUGAUAAUUGGGAUAAUUAAUAAAUCCAUUCACUGAUAAUUAGAGUAAAACAUUACAAUUACACUCUGCUUUUCAUAAUUAGCGGUAAACGCUAUAAAAGAUAUUCGAAACACCUCGGAUGAGUAUAAUAGUUAACCGCAUCCGAAGUUUUCCAGCUAUAAGCCUGGUUCCAUGUCCCUGUUUUGCUUAAUUUACACCGCGUCACUAGGAUGAGACAGGGGACCAGGCUAUCCAGCUAUUAGACGUUAUGGCGCCAAAUCUCAUGCAUUGGCGUCAUAAAGGAUGUAAACGCUUUAUAUACGAGCUCCCAGCUUCUAACGGUCAGACUCCUGCGGUCUCACCCACGGAAAGGUCCACUAGACGGACCAAUUCCGAAUCAGGCAGUCUCCCCACCAGAAAGGGUUCUGUUUGAGACAGAGAGAUGAAACAAAUUGACAUGAUGGGUAAUUAUUAACCUGAAUAUUGAAUUUGAUAGCAACGUUUGAUUGCUUUAUUCAUUCAUUUUACUCAGACACAAGUAGUGGUCUGAACUCAUCGUUAUUGUUUACUUUUGAGUAGUAUUUACUAAGGCACAAGAAGUGACCUGAACUUGAUAUUUAUAACUCCUGAAAUUAUUACUAACAAAUGCAUGGUGCAUUGUAUUGAGUUUUGUAGUGAGGAAUAAGCAUAACUUUGUCCCUAUACAAUUAGUUGUUUGCUAUAACUUUUGAAUAUUAACAAAUGCUAGACGCAUUGUAUUGAGAAAUUAGCAUAACUUUUUGUUCCUAUAGUUGUUUGCUAUAUAACCUGACAUUUUAUAUUUAUACUCACAAGUGAAGAAAUCACUCGUUGAAUCUUUAUUCGAGACCCAAAGGCAUUAGGUCUAUUAGUAUUUAUUAAAGGCUUUGUUUAAGGCUGGUUUUUAUAUUAACAUUUGUUGGAAAGGGUGGUUGGUUUGUUUUUAUUUCAAGUGAAGACCGCAGAGCCAAAGAAGAGUUUUGUGAAUAUUUAUUUGAAUAAAAUCUAAAUAAAAUAUUAAAAACAAUUCAUAUCCUGUUGUUUUUCGUUCAACAUUCUGAUUAUGGAGCCCCACAAUGUUAGGCCGCUAAACAUAGACAGCCGUAAGUCGUAACAACUUUACUAUCUAAUUCGCCCAAAGCCUGUCCACAUGUCUAGCCACAGUAAAGAAAGGACGAAAGGACACUGAGUGAAAUUACAGUCUAUGGUCAUGCAGAAAUUCCAGUUGUAAGGUUAGGGUUGUUGUCAAGGCAGCAUUUAGUGUUGUAGUAUCAUUAACUGAGAAAUUAAAAUCCAAGAUGGUACCUUCAGUUUGAAUUCUGUAUUUCAGGAGACAAUAUAGUUCAAAAGUGGAUACUAGCAUUUUAGAGUUUAGGUGUGAUGACCAUUGAAAUGAUUGAGGGAGAGCCACCAUAUUUGAAUAAAACUCCUUUAAGGGUUGUGUGAUAGAUCUGCAGGAGUUUCGGGUGUGACUGCAAGAAGCAAAUGAGAGCUCUUUCUCGCAGAUCUAUUAAUGAAAGGAAACUGUCUACGUGAUGUCUUUCAGUGCCACUGCUUCAGAAUGGGUGAUCUAAAUGUCAGCUUUAUUUGUCAUCAUGCCUGCUGGGACUGGCGAGGGGAUACGACCCCAAACCCCUCAAAGGACUCAGCCAAAUUGUGAUAUUGAUGACCUUUUACAUGUCAAAUUUUUAAACAAUGUUCAAAACAUUUUGUAAUAAAACAUGCAUGUUAAGAAUGAAAAUGUCCUCAUGAUUUUUCUCAUAUAACUAUCAGUGAUUUUAUCGUUCAAUCAUAGCUUUAAUGUUCAUUUUGAUUUUGUUAUUGGUUACUUAUAGUACUGCCUCUUACAUAGAACUUUAAAUUAUUUUUAUGUAACCUCUAUUUGUUUUGUUUUAUAUUUGAUAACAAUUAUAAUGUCUAUUUCUGCAAAUUGGAAUUUUUAGUUUAAACAUUCUUGAAGAGGAACAAGUCAUAAGCCAUAUUAUAUUUAUCAAAUAUUUGAAUGAUAAAAAAAAUUUAAUUUAUGGGUGUAUAUUAACCCAGCUAAAUAAAAUAUCCAGUCAGAAUUUUAGGAUAUAUUACAAUGUUGUAAGUUAUCGUCCAGUGGAUAACAAUUACAUUGUGUUUGACAGCUGUUGGCCUGUCUUGGUUGUGAAUAUUUUAAAAGUCAUUCUAUGCAUUGAAUUUAUUUUAACUGUCAAAUCUAUGAUGUACACCACAAACAGAAAGUAAAAAAGGAA